ensembl:lncRNA
UUUUUUUUUUUUUUUUUGAGACAGAGUCCCACUCUGUCACCCAGGCUGGAGUGCAGUGGCACGAUCUCAGCCCACUGCAACCUCUGCCUCUCAGGUUCAAGUGAUUCUCCUGCCUCAGCCUCCCAAGUAGCUGGGAUUACAGGCGUCUGCCACCAUGCCCAGCUAGUAUCCUUAUUUUUAAUGAGAUGCACGCUGAGUAUUUAGGGAUGAAGCAUCAUGCAACUAAUUCAAAUGGUCCAGCAAAAUAUAUAUACACACACAUAAAUAGACAAACUAAAUAUGUCUGAAAGUUCACAAUAACUGAACUUAAGUUGUAGGUAUACAGGUGGUCAUUGUACUUUUCUGAAUAUUUGAAAGUUUUCAUAAUAAGGAAGUUUGAAAGAAACAAAAGGAAAGGGCACAUAAUGGAGGGCUUGUUAUGAGCUCCUUGGGAUUCUGGAUCCUACCGCUGAAGGUUUCAACCAGUGGUUGAUAUGAUCAAAUUUACAUUUUAGAAAGCUCAUUGAUGUAUUGCAUUUACUCAAUCAGUAUUUAUUGAUCACCCAUAUCAAAUGUUGAGUGAACCCUGAGGUAAGUGCUGUGGGAGAUACGAAAACCAAAAAGGCAUCAUCUGGCAGAAAAGCAUUUACCAUGUAAUAGAGGAAAUGAGACACAAAACACUAAGCACAAAGUAAAGCUUUCUUGUCACAAGGGGUAACUGGGAGACCUGGGAGGAAAAGGCAGAUGCACGGUGCCUCCAGGUGUUAUCUGGUAUUCAACGUCCACAAAAUUAUCUCAGAAAGCAUAAAACUACAGGUGACUGAAAAUCACCUGUCAGCUCUAGCCCGUUGAACUUUCCUUAUUUCUAGAUGGCAGAACUCUAACCCCAUGAGAGAUACUGGAAAAUGCAAGUUUUCCUUGAGGUAGGGUGUAGGAAUGUGACCCAUUUCUGACCCAAGGGACCUGACUUAGGUCUCCUGAAAUCUACCAGGGACUACUGACAAAGAUCUUCUUUCCUGAUAAAAACAGACAUGUAAGAAGGCCCCCUCCUCCUCCUCCUUUCUUCCCACCUCUGAGUGCAGUUGGGUGAGGUUGCGAUGCUUGCAGCUGGAGAAUCGUGAGGGGAAAGCCAAGGGAAAGAAAGAAAAGAUGGCAGACUCAGAUCCCUAAUAUCAUUAAGCCUCUGAAGCCUACAACCUGACAACCUCCCAUUACCAGACUUCUUCUUAUAGAAGCAAAAUUUCCCCCUUUCCAACUCAUUUAUAUGCAGUUGUUGAUAUAUACGGCCCAAAACCGCACUCAGUCCUCAUCAGCAAGCAUACUAUGUCUACAGCCAAUCCUAACCUUUGAACAAUGCAGUUGAAGGAAGACUCACCCACCGAGUCAAGUCGGUCCUGCCCCUAGUUAUGACCACACGCACGCUCUAGUUAGGGAUGGUAAAGAAGUUUCACAUUCAUAUGCCAACUCAGAUUAAUUGGCAGCAACUGGAUAAUCUGCUGUGCAGAAAGUUAAAUACAGGUUCUGUGGAAAGUGUCUAGAUUCAUAGUGUCAGACAUCUGCCCUGGGCCACAUGCUUACCGUCCCAUGGAUGGAUGGAAUUUGGAAUCAGAAGACCCAAGUUUAUAAGUCCUGGCUCUACUACUUUUGUGAUUUUGGUCAUUUAACCUCUUUGAGCCUUCUUAUGGGAUAGUUGUUAUAAUCAAGAUAAUAUAAGUAAAUGUGCUUUGUUAACCAUGAAGUGUCACACAGAUGGUAGUUACUUUGUCUUAUAUUUGUCAAACCUCAGCUGAGGACCAGGUUGACAGGACGGAGGGAGAGAAGGAAUUCAAGGCUCGAGCCCUGGAUGACCAGUAGCUGAACACCUGACAG